GAGUUUGAUUCUGGCUCAGGAUGAACGCUGGCGGCGUGCUUAACACAUGCAAGUCGAGCGGAGUUUACAAUGGAAAGAUCUUCGGAAAUGGAAGCUGUAAACUUAGCGGCGGACGGGUGCGUAACGCGUGGGUAAUCUGCCCCUAUCAUCGGGAUAACACAUCGAAAGAUGUGCUAAUACCGAAUAAUAUACUUUUUUGGCAUCAAGAGAGUAUCAAAGUGUUAGCGGAUAGGGAUGAGCCUGCGUCUGAUUAGUUAGUUGGUGGGGUAAUGGCCUACCAAGGCGACGAUCAGUAGCCGACCUGAGAGGGUGAUCGGCCACACUGGAACUGAGACACGGUCCAGACUCCUACGGGAGGCAGCAGUGGGGAAUAUUGCACAAUGGGCGAAAGCCUGAUGCAGCAANCGCCGCGUGAGCGAUGAAGGUCUUCGGAUCGUAAAGCUCUGUCGCCAUGGGAAGAUAAUGACCGNNCCCAU
rnacentral:rRNA from 2 species